ensembl:lncRNA
CUGAGAUGGCGCUAUAGAACGUUUGUCCAAUGGUAGGCGGCGUAUUCCGCGCGGCGCCAGUCGCAGAGGCGCUAGGGCGAUGUUGCGUGGUGAGGGGCGGGUGCGUGGGGUGGGCGCCGGUCGGGUGGGCGGAUGGGGCGGUGCCCGCUCGGAGCUGCCGCCGCGGGGUACUCACGUCCCACCUGCGGAAGGUGGGGCUAGCUCUGGAGGAGUUCCUUGGUGGCCUUGAGGACCUCAGACUUAACCCGGCCGCUGGAGCCAUCCCGGCGGACUGGAAGUGCACGGGCUAGGAGAGCAAGAAGGACGUGACAGGCGGGCGAACCUGACGUAAUUAGUGAACGAGGGCUAAAGAAAAAGAAGUCAAUUUAUUAUUAUUUUGUCAACAUGUAUGUCUGCACUACGAAAGAGGACACUGGAUCCCAUGAAGCUGCAGUAAUAGACAGUGGUGUCCCUCCCUGAUGAUUGCAUGCCAAGAUGAUCUGGUCUUCCCAUCCGUUGUUGGUAAGUUGACUUUCUACAUCUUUUGGCCAACACCACAAAGAUACUUACUUCAGAGGGCAGUGAGCAUAGAGCACCUCAAUUCUAACAGUCUAAUAAGGAAAAAGAAAAAAAAAAAAAAAAAAAAGAAACCCCAGCAGACUCUGAGACUCGAGAAGAAUUUAAGGCUGAAAAUGAACGGAUCAGAACCAUUUCUCCCAAAACAGAUUUUUUGUUUGUUUGCUUGUUUCUUGGGUUUGUUUGUCUAGUUGGUUGGUUGGUUUUUGGUAGUGGUGGUGGAGGGGUGGGCUGUCCACUCAUGAAGGCUGAAGACCUUGAUGUGUAUUUUGAGAUGCUGACUGAGGUAAGCAUUUCUGCUGAAGCAUUUCUCCAAGUCUGCACAUUGGUAAGGUUUCUCUCCUCCGUGAGUUCUCUAACGCCUGAUCAGAUUGAACCUUUGACUGAAGGGCUCGCCACAAUCGAGACACUUAUAAGGCUUCUCUCCUGUGCAUGUCCUCUGAUGAGUCACCAGGGUGGAGUUCUGACUGAACAUUUUCCAGCCUGUUAAAGGUUUUUCUCUAGUGUGUAUUUUCUGGUGUCUAAGAAGGUGGGAGCUAAGGCCAAAAGUCUUUCCACAUUCCCAGCACCUGUAUGCUUUCUGUCUUGACUGGACUCUGAACUCGUCUGUCACACUGCAGCUCCAUAUUUCCAGAGAAUUUGUUGACCCUCAUGUAUCUUCUGGUGGUUAAAAGGUUUGAACCUUGACUUUUAGUCUUUCCACACACGCAACAGCAAUGGGGCUUUCUCUUGCUUUGUCCUCCGACACUUUGUUAAGGUAGAAUUGCAACCAAAGCCUUUUCCUCACCCAAGACACUUGGAGGGCUCCUCACCUGUGUGCAUUCGCUGCUGGCCAAUCAGUCUGGAAUUCUGACUGAAGCUCUUCCCAUAUUCUGGGCACCUGUGGGGUUUUUCUGCAGUGUGAGUCUGCCUGUGUUCUACUAGAACAUGGCUGUGACUGAAGCCUUUCCCACAAACAGGACGUUCGUGUGGCCUCUCACCAGUGUGUAAUGUGAUGCCAAAUAAGGCAGAAGCUGCUGCCUAAACCCUUUCCAGUCAGGACACUUAUAAGGCCUCUCUCCUGUGUAAGUUCUCUUGUGAACCAUAAGGGGGAAAUAUUGCUGAAGCUUUUCCCUCACUCGCCACACAAGACGGACUUCUCCCCUGCGCGUGUUUUCAAAUGCUGAACCAGGUGGGAACUGUUAGAACAGCCUUUCCCACGUCUAGAACAUUUAUAUGAUUUUUCUCCUGAGUGUGUCCCCUGGUGUGUAUGGAGACGAGAAGCUUUCCCAGCAUUUAGAACAUUCAGGGGGCUUCUCUCUAAAAGACGAAUUCCACUGGGCAGAGGUGUUGAUAUGAUCUUCAGAACCCCAUCCUCCUUGGCGAGGUCCCCCCUCCUUUCUCUAUAGUGUCCUCCUGUUUCUCUGAUUGGUCAUCAUUCUCAUAAGAAUCAUGACAACAGACCUCUUCUCCAUGAGACUAUACCAGAUGCAUGCUUCUGUUCGUCGUGCUUAGAAUUCUGUGGCCCUCAUCUUUUAGACCAUUUUAGAGCCUUCUCUUGAAGUUUAUCAGCCUUAGGUGUACUGCUUUGAACAGUCCCUAAGUUAUCCCUAUUUUCAUCUCCUGCAAGAAUUAAAAAAAAAAAAAAAUCUAACCAUAGUCCUUUAUCUUGCCUGACAAAUUCUGAACUGAAGUGCGAGAGUAACAGUGGAAACCCUCAUAAUGCAUUAUUAGAAAAUCAGUGUAUGGGUUGGUGAUUUAGCUCAGUGGUAGAGCGCUUGCCUAGGAAGCGCAAGACCUUGGGUUCGGUCCCCAGCUCCGAAAAAAAGAAAAGAAAAAAAAAAAAAAGAAAGAAAGAAAGUCAGUGUCUGUGUGUGCUUGGAGGUGCCUUCCCUUUGGUUUCUGCUGCUAUUUUAAACACCACGACCAAAAGCAACUCGAGGAGGAAAGAGUUUCUUUCAUCUUAUAUCACAGGUAACUGUCCAUUGCUAAAGGAAGUCAAGGCAGGGUCUCCAAAGGGGAACUGAGAAACCGUGGCGGGGGGGGGGGGGGGGGAGGGGG